GACAGAGGUGGCAAGCGUUGUUCGGAAUUACUGGGCUUAAAGGGCGCGUAGGUGGUGGCGUAAGUCCGGGGUGGAAGGCCAAGGCUUAACCUUGGAAUUGCCCUGGAAACUGCAUCACUUGAGUCAGCGAGGGGAUGGCGGAAUUCCCGGUGUAGCGGUGAAAUGCGUAGAUAUCGGGAGGAAGGCCUGUGGCGAAGGCGGCCAUCUGGCGCUGAACUGACACUGAGGCGCGAAAGCGUGGGGAGCAAACAGG
rnacentral:rRNA from 1 species